AGGUGGGGAAUGAGGAGACUCUGUCAGGCUUGUUUCUUUUUGAGUAAAAACACACCUGUGCACACUUUCAGGCAUCUCAGUGGAGUCCUUUCACAUACCAUGUGUCUCCUCUGCUGGCCUCUGGACUCUGAAUUCUUGCUAAUGGUUUUCCCUCUGCCUCUUGAUCCCUGCCUUACUCUAUUUUUCUUGGAAAUGUCCAUGUGCUUCAGUUAAAUGUCAUCUCCUCCAGGAAGCCUUUUUUUUGAAGCAUCCCAUAGUCACCCCCUCCAUCACGAUUCAUCAAUGUCCUGCCCCAUCCGGGUCAAGCAUGAGGGAUGCUGUUUUCCAAUGGUCCUGCCUUGAACAUGGGCUCCCAAGGCCCACAGAGACCACUUCAUCAUCUUUGUACGUUCAGUACCGUGCAGAGUGGCACAAAAUAGAUGCUCUGAGUUUACUGAAUGAAUAUGCUUCUGGGAGAGCACCCACCCUCCCCUUCCCCAGUUAUCUAAACAGGCUGAAGAGUGCUAAGAAGGACCUUAGGCUUUGGAAUCAGAUAGACUUGUUCAAACCUGGGCUCUCCCUCUUACCGUGUGGCCUUGAGCUAUUUCUCCAUUUGUUUUCUCAUCUAUGAAGUGAGGAUAGUAAUGCCUGUGUCACAGAUGAUUGUGAGGCGGAUGAAAUAAUACUGUGAGUCUCUGAGCACAGGGUAAUCAUAAACACAGGGAUACCCCUCAACAUAUAAACCCUCGUGGGCUCCUAGACCCCCUGACCCCUCAGAACCCCUUCUGGAGCCACUAGGAUCUCGUUCAAGGCUGGUCCACCUCACACGAAUCCUACCCCAUGGGCGCUGGGAAGGGUUUUGAACAUGUUGCAGACUGGUCUCAAACUCCCAAACUCCUGAGCUCAAGCAAUCCCAGCUCAAGCUUGGUGGCUCUAAACAGUUCUGUUCAAGGGAGCUCUUCUCAGCCAGGCCUUCAUCUUUCUUCCAUGUUGGAUGCUUCCUGACCUUGAAAAUUGGACUCCAAGUUCUUUAGCUUUUGGACUGGGACUUACACCAGUGGUUUGCCAGGAGCUCUCAGGCCUUCGGCCACAAACUGAAGGCUGCACUGUUGGCUUCCCUACUUUUGAGGUUUUGGGACUCGGACUGGCUUCCUCGCUCCUCAGCUUGCAAACAGCCGGUUGUACGACUUUACUUUGUGAUUGUGUGAGUCAAUAGUCCUUAAUAAACUCCCUUUCCUAUAUACAUCUAUCCUAUUAGUCUGUCCCUCUAGAGAACCCUGACUGAUACAGAAAGGGUGAGGGGUGGUAUGGAGCCUGAACUCAGGCCUCCCUGGCUCCAAAGCUCUCCACUGCUCUGCCCUCCCCACCUCUCUCUGGGUUUAAGCUCCUGGAGGGAUGAGACCAAGGCAUGGUCAUCUCUAUCCAUGGAGUCCUGCAAAUAGCACAUUCUCAACAAAGUUUGUUGAAAAAGACCAUCUGGGUUCAAGUCCCAGUCCUGCCAUUUACUAAGCUACAAGGGGCUUUGGCAAGUUAUGUAACCUCUCCAUGCCUCAGUUUCUUCAUCUGUAAAAUAAUAAAAAUAAUAGUCCUACACAUUUAGGCUUGCAGGUAGAACUAGAUGACCUCACAUAUGAAAAAUGCCAGAACAGUACCUGGCGCAGGGUAAAUAUUGUGAAAUGCUGGGCUUCAUUAUCAUUAUGGCCCCCUUUCAAGGAUGCCUGGUGCAGGAAGAGGGGUGAUCUGGUUUGGCUCUGUACUCCCACUCAAAUCUCAUGUUGAAUUGUAAUCCCCAGUGUUGGGGGAGGGACCUCGUGGGAGGAGAUUGGAUCAUGGGGGCGGAUGUCCGCUUUGCUGUUGUCAAGAUAGGGAGCAAGUUCUCAUGAGAUCUGCUUGUUUGGAAGUGUGUAGCACUUCCUGCUUUGCUCUUUCUCCCUCUCCUGCUCCCGCCAUGUAAGACAUGCUUCCUUCCCCCUC
rnacentral:lncRNA from 1 species